UACGUAGGGUGCAAGCGUUGUCCGGAAUUAUUGGGCGUAAAGAGCUCGUAGGCGGUUUGUCGCGUCUGCUGUGAAAGCCCGGGGCUCAACCCCGGGUCUGCAGUGGGUACGGGCAGACUUGAGUGCGGUAGGGGAGAUUGGAAUUCCUAGUGUAGCGGUGGAAUGCGCAGAGAUCAGGAGGAAUACCGAAGGCGAAGGCAGUCUUCCAAGCCGUUAUUGACGCUCAAUUGCGAAGGUGUGGGUAUCAAACAGGAUUAGAUACCCCGGUAGUCCCU
rnacentral:rRNA from 1 species